rnacentral:rRNA from 1 species
CGAUAGUGAACCAGUACCGUGAGGGAAAGGCGAAAAGAACCCCGGCGAGGGGAGUGAAAAAGAACCUGAAACCGUGUACGUACAAGCAGUGGGAGCCCCACCACUAAGCCAGUGGUGAACUCCACAUACGCAUCCUUUGCUGAGGAUACGGUUAACGGAGCGAAAGCGACGUUCAACCUCAAAAGAAGCAGAGGGGGCUUAGUGGUGGGGUGACUGCGUACCUUUUGUAUAAUGGGUCAGCGACUUAUAUUCUGUAGCAAGGUUAACCGAAUAGGGGAGCCGUAGGGAAACCGAGUCUUAACCGGGCGUUAAGUUGCAGGGUAUAGACCCGAAACCCGGUGAUCUAGCCAUGGGCAGGUUGAAGGUUGGGUAACACUAACUGGAGGACCGAACCGACUAAUGUUGAAAAAUUAGCGGAUGACCUGUGGCUGGGGGUGAAAGGCCAAUCAAACCGGGAGAUAGCUGGUUCUCCCCGAAAGCUAUUUAGGUAGCGCCUCGUGAAUUCAUCUCCGGGGGUAGAGCACUGUUUCGGCUAGGGGGCCAUCCCGGCUUACCAACCCGAUGCAAACUGCGAAUACCGGAGAAUGUUAUCACGGGAGACACACGGCGGGUGCUAACGUCCGUCGUGAAGAGGGAAACAACCCAGACCGCCAGCUAAGGUCCCAAAGUCAUGGUUAAGUGGGAAACGAUGUGGGAAGGCCCAGACAGCCAGGAUGUUGGCUUAGAAGCAGCCAUCAUUUAAAGAAAGCGUAAUAGCUCACUGGUCGAGUCGGCCUGCGCGGAAGAUGUAACGGGGCUAAACCAUGCACCGAAGCUGCGGCAGCGACACUGUGUGUUGUUGGGUAGGGGAGCGUUCUGUAAGCCUGUGAAGGUGGCCUGUGAGGGUUGCUGGAGGUAUCAGAAGUGCGAAUGCUGACAUAAGUAACGAUA